rnacentral:rRNA from 1 species
AGAUUGAACGCUGGCGGCAUGCCUAACACAUGCAAGUCGAACGGGAGUAGCAAUACUCUAGUGGCGGACGGGUGAGGAAUACGUAGGAAUUUGCCCUUAAGUGGGGGAUAACCCGGGGAACCCGGAUUAAUACCGCAUGACCUCGAAAGAGCAAAGUGGGGGAUCGCAAGACCUCACGCUUUUGGAGAAGCCUACGUCGGAUUAGCUAGUUGGUGAGGUAAUGGCUCACCAAGGCGACGAUCCGUAACUGGUCUGAGAGGAUGAUCAGUCACACCGGAACUGAGACACCGGUCCGGACU